rnacentral:lncRNA from 1 species
UUUUCUUGGGAGGUCCUCCUGUUGCACCCAUCCUUUUGCAGAUGACUCUUUCGACGUUACGCGCGACUUGAUUUAUGGUCCGCAGGUUUAUUUACAAAUUUGAGUCACGGCGCCGUGGCAUUUUACUUGAUAUUAUAACGAGCACGGGAGGUGCAGUGCGAAUGUACAAGAAAACAAAUGACGGGAGGGGGAAGAAAGGAGAAGGAGUUUAUAUAU